rnacentral:lncRNA from 1 species
CAGCCUCCCAAGUAGCUGGGAUUACAGGCUCUGGCCACCAUGCCCGGAUAAUUUAUGGUUUCUUUCUAAUUUGAGGUCUCUCUCCUGAAGUGGCUGACACAAUUGGAGAAACUGGUUAUUUACCAAGGCUUUGACUGGAAUGGCAUACUUUCAGAUACAAACAGACUCUUUUAAAGAAUCAAAGUUGACUUAUAAAGCCAAUAAAAGCUUCUUGGGAAAUUUGGCCCCAUACUUUGUCUAGGCAGUCCCUGCUCAGGGUUUCUGGCCUAUGAGGCCUCACCCAUCUGCAAUGUCACUUCCUAGAUGGGAUGCAACUACAAAACUAAUCUACUCUCAAGAACUAGACAGGAUUAUGACUGCCUUCAUGAGUAUUCACAGUUCUUCCUGUAACCUGUUGAAUAUACACUUAGCCAAUCUUUCAUCACAACCAGUUACUAUUAGAAAUGGGGAGCAUGCCUUAUAAUUAAGACUAACUUCUGUGUAUACAUCCCAGGCAAUUUGGAAAAUGUCUCAGAUAGCCCUGCAAGAUAUGCACCAAUAAAACAAAGCUAUGCCUUAUCCCACAUUGUCACUUGACCAAUGGUUAGUGUCCUGGUUCAGGUCAGGACCAUCCUGGUGGAAAAAGCUGCUUGUAACAUUGGCCCUGGUUGCAGUAGACAUUUCCCUCUGUUGUGAAGUUUUCUGCUGUUGCACCCUCUGUAAUAAGAAUACACAACAGGCUUUCCCAGAGACCUUGCACCAUAAUGGUCCAAAAGUAUCCUCUGUAAGUCCAGGUAUUGUGAAUAUUUCCAACUCCAAAGAGAUCAGUUUCAUCCUGACACCCAAUGAGUAUACCCUCUUUCAGCAGGAAGUAGCCAGAAUAAAUAUGACACAAAAAUCCCACAGAAAAAAAAAAUGGAACUUGGCAGUAGGAAAUUGUAACCAAGUGCCCCCAUUUUUCAAAGAGAGAGUUUAAUUAUCUUUCUCUCUUCUUUUCUCUUUCCUCAUUUUCCCCAAUUUCUAUUUAGCCCUUUAGGAUUACAAAUAUAGCAUUUUACCUGCCCUUCACCAGACACUCCCUACAGAGCAAGUUCAUCUAACUACAUGCUUAGGAGAUCCCAAAAGGAAUUCUAACCCACCAGCAGGUUGCCUCGAGAGAUAACAGUCAAUUUACAACCCAAAGUAUGCCUGCCCGUGAAGAUGCCAGCAGUCACCAGCUUGACCACGCUGUAGAUAAAACACUAAGCUAACAUGCAGACCCCUCACCUGCUUGCUUUCCCACCACCCACAUGCUGUUCAUGUUAGGUACCCUUUCAAUGUGCUCACAUUCUUCUCCAAAAGUGAAGUGAUACCCUAAAAGCAGGAAGCUGGAAAUUUUUCCCCUAAGCUAGCUUUGGAAUACAAAGUCACUUUCUUUAUACCAAACUUCACUCUUAUCAGUUGGGCUCUGCAAGUGGUGAGUGACUGAACCAGCAUUUUGAUUACACUGUAAAGAAAUACCUGAGGCUGAG